rnacentral:rRNA from 1 species
GGUUAAGCGACUAAGCGUACACGGUGGAUGCCCUGGCAGUCAGAGGCGAUGAAGGACGUGCUAAUCUGCGAAAAGCGUCGGUAAGGUGAUAUGAACCGUUAUAGCCGGCGAUGUCCGAAUGGGGAAACCCAGUGCAAUUCGUUGCACUAUCGUUUGAUGAAUACAUAGUC